rnacentral:rRNA from 1 species
GGUUAAUUCGAUGCAACGCGAAAACUUACCACCUUUGACAUGUACGGAAUCCUUUAGAGAUAGAGGAGUGCUCGAAAGAGAGCCGUAACACAGGUGCUGCAUGGCUGUCGUCAGCUCGUGUCGUGAGAUGUUGGGUUAAGUCCCGCAACGAGCGCAACCCUUGUCAUUAGUUGCUACGAAAGGGCACUCUAAUGAGACUGCCGGUGACAAACCGGAGGAAGGUGGGGAUGACGUCAAGUCCUCAUGGCCCUUAUAGUGGGGCUACACACGUCAUACAAUGGCUGGUACAAAGGGUUGCCAACCCGCAGGGGGAGCCAAUCCCAUAAAGCCAGUCGUAGUCCGGAUCGCAGUCUGCAACUCGACUGCGUGAAGUCGGAAUCGCUAGUAAUCGUGGAUCAGCAUGUCACCGGUUGAACCUACGUUCUCGGGCCUU